AGGGAAAAGCUCAAAUUUAAAAUCUGGUAGUCUUUGGCUGCCCGAGUUGUAAUUUAGAGAAGUGUUGCCCGCGUUGGACCGUGUACAAGUCUCCUGGAAUGGAGCGUCAUAGAGGGUGAGAAUCCCGUCUUUGACACGGACUACCAGUGCAUUGUGGUGCGCUCUCGAA
rnacentral:rRNA from 1 species